rfam:Asian citrus Psyllid, Diaphorina citri - Florida Strain, whole genome shotgun sequence.
GCCUGGUUAGCUUAGUUGGUAGUGCGUCUGCCUUGUGAGCGCUAGGCCGCGGGUUCGAUUCCCGCCCGGGGCG